GUGCCCGCCGAUCCAUAGACCACCGACGAGCCAACCCGAGGAUGUGGACGGCGACGCGCACGACGGCGAACGCGUCGAGGGAAACGACGCCGCUGAUCGCCGCUCGAUCCCGGCCGAACGGACACGACCGGAUCACCGCCCGGCCGAACGACCGCUAGACCGCCGUGCGAUCAUCCUCGGGAUCGGAAUCCACAGGUACCUCGAGUGGCGUCCCCGUUCAGCCGUCGUCCAGCGUCAACUACGCCCAUCGAGACGCACCGGAGACCAACGGACCCAGCGUCCGCUCUCUUCCCGUGGACUGAAUAACCGUGAUCGAUCCCGGACCGCGUGUGAAACUCUAUCCCCCCACCCCUCGCUAGCCGGAGAGUGUAAUCGAGCGGAUUCAACGAUUGACUCGGCCGAUGGGAUACCACGAAUAAAGGCACGGCGAGCCGUGAUCGAGUGACCGAGUGUUAUGAAUAAGAGAAUAAACCCCGGCGAUCGAUCGAAAUCUCGGAUGUCGGGAGCACGCCGGACCGACCUACCAGUGGAUUAAACGGUGCACGGAGCUCCUGGGUGGACGCUCGAAUUUCCUAACGAUCGAGAUUGCUUCCGGUAUUUGGCGACCGAUUAAACCGAGAUUCUCCGGUGGGGUCUGAGUUGAUAGUUCGAUCGUGUCGUUUCGAGGAGAGGCGCACGAGGCGGCCGGUUCGGAGGUUCUUUUCAGUGUUGAACGAUUACGGGCCGAAUAGUCGUAAUAAACCGGUGGUGGCGGCACAAUGCCAGGUGGUUUCGAUUGAAUAGAGUGUCGAGCGAGCGUUUUUUGAUCUCGUUGCAAAAUAUUGAAUCGAUCUGCCGCCGGUGAAUGGCGGGGCUUAGGACGACUUCCGUGUAUUCUAUGGUCGGGUCACGGUGCUGGGGAUCAUCCCCCUGACGUACACUGUGGGGAGCCGGAUAGAGAUAGAGACGGGCGUAUAUAUAUACACGGACGCGUAUAGAAAUCAGAAGAGAGAGAGAGAGAGAGGGAGGAGGACACUCGAUAUACACGCCGAUCUUGCGCAGAAUAUGGGAAAGGCACGAGGAGCACUCGGCGACGAGCGCGUGACACCAUGAGGAAAUUCUCGGGCGAAUCGACGUCGGUUCCGGAUUACGCUCUGAUCCGGUGGAUCGCUCGGUGCCGGGGAACGCGGCGCGCCCAGUGAACAAGCAAGCGCGUCGCGGCUCGCGCGGACGAUCCGCUUGAUCCUCGGAGUCACGCCAGCCGCGGGGAUCGUCCACGGGGAAAACUGUGCGGAGUCAUGGGCGAACGGUCCAACGUGGCGGAACACGUCGCGCCGGUGAACGAGAUUCUCGGCGGCGGAUUUCAAUGAUACGCGCCUAAGCCAGGGGCGGCGUUCGGCGCGAGACCGGCGGGAGGGCGGACCGGACGCAGCACCUCGUUUCCCGCGUGCACGGAGGAUCGAGCGGUUUUAUCGCGGUGAACGCUGCGGGGGCGAAGGGGGCGGCCAAUCCCUCGCAGCCGGGGCAGAUAACGGCCACGAGGAUGCCAGACAAAAUCGAAGAGACGGCUCUCCAGGCAGGACGCCGCUCGAGGAUCUCGUAAUUGGCCAGCAGUCGCGCAGGAUCCGAAGCCAACGAUCGAGAAUGGAGGCGAGGGGCAGCGUGUUCCGGCUGGGAUCCCUCGUGAUAGACGACGGGAACGCGUCCGCGUUGGAGCCGAGGCAUCCGGACGAACUGUUCGACGUGACCGUCGGAAAUGCCGACGCCGGUGUCCUGUCGAGGAGCGACGGGGACGCGUCGAGCAGCGGCGUCGAGCUGGCCUGGUACAACGACACGACAACGGUCGGCUCGACGUUCAGCGACACGUGGUACGGCGACACCUCGCCGUCGUCGUCGUCGUCGUCGUCCUCGUCGUCGUCCUCCUUCUCGUCGACGACCCUUGCCAGCGACAAUUUCACCGGCAUAUCCGACCUGUUCGUCUUCGAGGACCUGAACGACUACUUCAACCAGCUGAACGCGUUCGUGAACCUGACCUACGCGGGCGGAGCUGGGAACCUGAGUUUUAACGGGAGCCUGAAUUGCACCUCGUCGAUCGUCGCGGGCACCGCGGCCGGCGUCGUCACGGUCGGCGAGUGCGGCCCGGCCGCGGACGACGAGAAAACGGAAGCGAACAGCUGGUGGGCGCUAAUCCUGGUGAUCGUGCCGUGUUUGACGCUGUUCGGUAAUGUUCUCGUCAUUCUCGCGGUGGUGCGGGAGAGGGCGCUGCAGACCGUCACCAAUUACUUUAUCGUCAGCCUGGCUGUCGCCGAUCUGCUCGUCGCUGCGCUCGUCAUGCCGUUUGCUGUGUACUUUCUGGUGAACGGGUCGUGGAGUCUGCCCGACUUCGCCUGCGACUUCUACAUCGCGAUGGACGUCACCUGCAGCACCAGUUCCAUUUUCAACCUCGUAGCGAUCUCCAUAGACAGAUACAUAGCGGUGACCCAGCCGAUAAAGUACGCCAAGCACAAGAACAAUAGAAGAGUGUGGUUGACGAUACUGUUGGUCUGGGCGAUAUCGGCCGCGAUCGGCAGCCCGAUUGUUCUCGGCUUGAAUAACACACCUGACCGGCUGCCGAACCAAUGCCUCUUCAACAAUGCAGACUUUAUCAUCUACUCGAGCCUAUCCAGCUUCUAUAUACCCUGCAUCAUCAUGGUGUUUCUCUACUAUAACAUAUUCAAGGCGCUGCGGAACAGGGCGAAGAAAGCCAGGGCCAACCGGAAGCCGAACAUGGGCGACAUUAAACCCGGCAGUAUAAUCGAGAACAUCGCGCAUACCCGCAGGUUCGCGGAGACCGCGCUGGGGGCCGCUGCCCUGGUGGCGCCAGGGAUGGAGGAGCCAACGAACACGGCGUCGGGCAGCAACGAGGACGAGGACGAGACGCCGCUCGAUCCCGUCGUCGUCAUCUCGAACGACAAGAGCACCGAGUUCUUUUUGGCCACGGUCGUCGAGGAAGCAGCAUGUCGUUUCAGUGCAGUGGCCCAGGCCCAACUCGGCGGGACGCAGAACGCGAGGAAGGACUCCGGCUACGACGGGGCGGCGAGCAGCAUGGUGAUCAACGAGCCGUUGGAGACGAACUCGAGUCCGAGCCCGAAUCCCCGUGUCACCUCGGCCCCUUCGUCCUCGACCUCGUCGUCGCCGCCGCCGAAAGGGCCGACCGCGAGCUCCAGCUCGCAAUCGAAAAAGAACGGCAGCACCGAGGCCAACAAGCAGGAAUUAAAGAAGCUCAAGAGGACCGGCUCGCUGCUGCCCCUUCAGCUUGGACGGACGCCAAGCGUCCUGUCCGGCUCGUCCACCUGUAAAAAGGACAAGAAGAACGAGGCCGCUGGAUCGAGAUUCACGAUAUACAAGGCCAACAAGGCGAGUAAGAAGAAGAGGGAGAAAAGCUCCGCGAAGAAAGAACGCAAGGCGACUAAAACGCUCGCUAUCGUUUUGGGCGUGUUCCUAAUCUGUUGGCUGCCGUUCUUCACCUGCAACAUCAUGGACGCGAUUUGCACGAAGCUCGGCGCGACAUGUCAGCCUGGUUUCACGGCAUUCAUCGUGACCUCCUGGCUGGGAUACAUGAACAGCUUCGUAAAUCCCGUAAUCUACACUGUGUUCAAUCCCGAAUUUCGCAAAGCCUUCCACAAGCUCCUCAGCUUUUAAACGAGCGACGCCGUCUACGGUCACGUUUGUCUUGGGGUAAGGAGGAACAACGAGGCGUUGGACAAUCUAGCAGCUCAACAAUUGUUCCGACGGAAGCAGAAAUCCAGACCAGCAGUAACACUCCCUGUCACGCGUCACAGCUCGAGUCCCCGACGAUGUCAAAACCGGAGGUAGCGUGCAUCGAUGUUAGUCCUGAAGUUACCAGAUGAAUGUUUUAGACUAAUUAGCCCGAUAAAGGAGCGUCACGGUGUUAGUCACGCGUCAACAGCGAAUCGAAACGUCAAGUGCAGAGUAAUGUUCGCCAGCCAGUACCGUAAACAGCAGCCCAACAAACGAGCGAAACAAGGAACGCGAGAGCAACAGAAGAAAAAGAAGAAGAAGAGGAGGAAGACGAAGAAGAAGGAAAGUGAAAAAUAGGAUCGAAGGCGCGAGAACGUCGAGCCGAGAGGCUGACGGUACGCGUGCACGCGCUCUGUAGAUAUACUUCGUUGGUUAUUUAAUAUGCCGUGGCAGUAUUACCGUAGCUCGUAAGUAACAGCAAUAUUUUUUGGCUCGGAGCAACCGGGCCGAGAGACUCCGCUGUAUUUAUACCGCGUCCGCUCGGGACGAAGUCUCUUUCGCGACGCGUACGAUUCCACGACCCUGUUAUCCAUCCCCACGGAACGAAGAUCGACGGACGCGGUCCCCGGUAUCACGAUCUCUUCAUGAAUUUUGUAUAAUCGUAAAGGGAUCCGGGACUCCGGACGCUCGAUCCGCCGGAACUCGCGCGGAGAGGCAACGAAACAAAAAAAAGAAGGUUUCACUUGUCAAACAUGUCCGAUGCACACCGCUACCGUUUCAACUUCCGUACGGAACCGUUCGGAUCCACGCCGUCGUUCAACUUUUACGCCGCUCAUCGAUCACCGUACUUCCGAACUUUUCAUUUUCCGCCCGAACUUGCGCCCGAUAUUUCAUUCGAUUCCUCCGAAAUUUUCUUUCUCGCCCCGCUUUUUCCCCUCCGGUUGUGUAUCGAAACACCGGCACACAUGCGCGGCCGCCGUUCUAUUUUCGGAAUUUUUAUUGUCCACUUGGUCCCGCGCGUUUCAACGGGAAUUUUCGAAUUCGCCUUUCGUUUUUGUAUCCCCGGAUUUGCGUAUGCAAAAAGAUUCCGCGGCGUAUCGAAAAAUUUCCUCCGCCGCUCGCGUUCAAUUAAACGGAACUCUUCCGUGCGGCCCGAAUGUCGUUUCUCACCGACUGUUCAUCGUUUGGACCAGAGGUUCCCAAAGCGUGAGACGUUGAUCGAUUUUCUAUUAUAUUUGAAGGCAAUUUUAAAAUUGACAAUUCUGUAUUCGAAAAGAUUCAAAUAUGUAAUUCAUACGUUUACUGGAAAUCUUUUAUUGAGAAUACGUUGAAUCAUAAGUAACGCACGUAUUUGUAAGAAAUUAUUGUUUCCUGAAAUGGUUUUCGGCCCAUAAAAGUUUGAGAACCACUGGUGGGCCGCCAUUUCCGAUCGAAAUUGAUCCGGGGCGACGAUCUCGCGCUAACUGCUACGAGCGUUCCCGUCCAACGGCAAGAGAAACGGAAAUCGAUGCAGGAAAGGCGUCCGCUCGUUUUCGCCGGGCACGUCAGCUCAAGGAAUUUUCUCGCGAAGAUAAACAUUGUACGUUCACGGGCCGUUUCGACAAAGUGGAGACGCAACGAGAACACCCGUGUGCAUCGUACCGGAUACCGCAUCCCGCGGUUCCCGUUUAGACAGCGGAUUUUAUGCGUUCCUGACAAAUACGAGUGCAUAGAAUAUAAAGCGGAGAAACGUUCGCGAAAAUUCCGGAAUGCUGGUACCACUUUAUCGUGAACUUACUACGAUUCUUUGAAGAAGGAAUUAAACUCUAACCCUUGCUCGUUUACCGAGUAAACUUCUGAUCACUUCACUGACUUUGGUAACAAGUUAUUCAUUCAUUCUUUUGAUUCCCAAAUUUGUCAAAUGUAUUCUUGCUAUAUACUUCAGUAUUAUUGUUUAAUUCGAUAUUUGAUAGUCGAUAAAUUAAAAGUAAUUUGGCAACGUUAUUGUUCUGAUUUCGCGUAAAAAUCCGCUGCCUAUUCACGUUCCAUCUCCGCGCGCGAGCCUCAAGCCUCCCGCGACCGAAUUUUCAAACAUAUCAGUACGAGUACGAGGCACGAUACCUGUCCGUGCAUUGGCAUCCGAGACGCGUUUACACAGGCACGCGUGGAUUAGUGGGGCCACGCGAAACACACUGUAAACUUCACCGAAAAUAGAAACGUCGAAUGUAGUAAUGUGCUCCGGAAUCCAGUUAUCGUCGGUCUCUAUUUGAUGACGUAAUCCUCGCGUAAAGCACCUAUAUCUAGCUUAGACCUGACCUAAUCUUCCGUAAUCUCCGAUUAAUCUUCUGUAUUAUUCUAGCAUAGGCCUAACCUGUCAUUGAUCUAUGUUUAAAGUAGGACUAACGAUGUCCCUUGUAUUUUUAUUCGAUCCUAACACUCGCAGUUACGCUCGACAUCCAUCCGAUCUAGAUCUGACCCAUUUUUCUGUGCCAUCGUUCGAACCAAGUUGAUUGAAUGACACCAGAAAUAAAGUCUACCAAAAGUAAUUCAAUCAUUUGUAAUUUAAAGUGAACGAAGAAUAAUUCAGUUGACGGGAACGUUAUUUCUAUCUAUGCUUCUAAACGAGUCCACUAGCAGUCCCAAACAAGCGAGCAAAUAGAGAGGCACAUGACUGUAUUCUAGUUACCGAUCGAAAGGAACGUUUCGCGUGACCCGUGCUAUCGCAAUAACGUCUACAAUCAAAGCUUUUUACUCUGUAUGGACUCUACGAACACGUUGUAUCACGUAGCCGUAAGCUUCCAAGUGUAUAUUUGUAAAUAACUCGUAGGGACUAACGAAUUACGAGCUCGAGCCGCGCUAGCAACGCGGCGCGCGUCGAGUCGCGCUAAAUGAAUCCUAGGUACACCGCAAUUACUAAAACACUAGACGUAACGAUAGUGAGAGUGUAUCGCUAAACGCUAGGCAGAGCAUUAGGGAAAACUUCUUCUCGAUGAAUUGUGAUAAUGAUAGUUUUUAUUGAUGCUGCGUGCCACGUCCGUAGUUCGAUUCGACAUAACGCGAGCCUCUCUAAACCUCCCCUCGCAAUCCCUCCGAAAGAACCGGAAGCGGGCGCACCUUUGUUUAACGUCUUCGCUGCCGUGUCGCCUAUAAUUCCAUUGCUCAACAUUCGUAAAGUAAAAAUUCAUACAAUAUCACGUUCGAUCAAAGGAACACUCCGAUAAUUCAGUCAACUCAUUCUUCUCCCGUUUCGUUAAAGACACACACACAAUUCCAAUGUCUCAGAACGCGGGGGCGUGAAAGUUCAGCGGCGAGAGCGUUACACAAACUUCCAGCGAACGAAGAACUCGUUCGCGUUUUCGCCGCUCGAAACUCGUACAAUUUCAUCCCCCGCGGCCGGCGUCGCGGGCGGCGGUGUUUCCGCGUCCGGUUCUUUUUUCAUCAGAAAUUCCCCGUUGCACCAGGGACGCGACGCCAAUCGCGCGGCGGAACUAAUUUGCAUGCGGCGGGGUCGCGGGGAUCUCCUUUGAUUUGCAUGAACCAGUUAAUUCGCGUUCGUAAACCCUUUUCCGAAAUCGACCUCCGCGGAAAAGCCGUAUCGACGCGCGGCGAAUCUGCGAAGUUUGGCUCCGGGUAACGCCGCGAGGAACUUUUCCCGGCCGGAGACAUUUUAGGGGCUCCCCCCGAUCCGCGACAGAUCCCGCCGCGUGCCAUUUUACUCCACGGCGAGAUAAAGGAACCUUACGGCGGAUUAUUAAUUGGCGAAGUUCCCUUGCUCGGCCGCCGCCGCCGCCGCCGCCGCCCCCGUGCGCGAUCGUUAACGGGGUAUAAGAAAGUUCCCAGCGAACAGUCCCAGAAACACAGAAACGAUCCGUCGAUUCUUUUUACCUCGCGCCCCGAACCCUCGCGUCGAGACGCUCGGGCUAAUGAGUCCAUUAGCUACCCUUCAUCGAUUGUUUUUACCUUCGCGCUGACAUUUGAGGAAUCAGCGAUCGCGCUGACGGGGGAAGAGAUGAAUGAUUGAAGCGCGCGUUUGUUUUGUUGAUUGCCCGACUUUUAGUUUAUUGGAGCUCGAUCGUUUUAUAUAGGUGCAUUUGUAACAGUGGAAAUAUCGAAGCGCAAAUAUUUAGAAGCUGCAGCGUGUGUUCUGUAUAAUAUGAGAGUGGUAAUUCAAUAUUGAAAAGCGUUUGAGGAGCGAAGAUUCGGAGAGAGGAUAUUAUUGGGUACUUUUGUUCGGUGACGUAGUGUUUUAAAUAUUCUUUUCUAAUAAUGAUAAACAAUAAAACAUUGUAAACCCUUUUUCACCUUAUUCCAGCAAUUUUUAAUUAUUAUAUACUGUUUCGCGAGUUUUAUACACUGGUAGAUUAAAAAUAUGUUUACGUUAAACCAAUUUAUAUGAAAUACAUAGCCCGUGCUUCUUCAUGAUUUACAUAAAACAGCGUAAUAACGUGUUGCUCCGCGUUUUUGCGGAGGGUUCGCGGUUCGCGGUAGAUCGCUAAUUAAUCGUGAGCUUUCGCGAGCUAAUGGAUAAAGAACUACCGAAGCCUAGCAUUCUGUUCCAGCGUCAACGCGUCUCGCCGAACGCGUUAGAAUGUUUCUCGCGGUUCCGCGUAAGAUCGGUGUAUUUUUCUAACCUGCCACGCAACCCUUCUCUGUAUAUACCAUGUGUAUGUAUCAUGUUUGUGCACGCGCGCGACGCAGAGCGCAUUGCAUCCGUAUUGCACGGGACGAGGACGUGGAUUGGGCGUUGUACAUGUCGUGUAAAUAUAAAUAUAUACUAACUUAAUCGACGAGAGAGCGUAUACGAAUGCCUGCGUGUGGCCCGGGGAACCGUCCGCGGAUUCGAAACUGAGCCCGAAUCCCCGAUGAUCCCCGGGAUAUCGUUCGAGGCCGGUUUCUACCUCCUCGUGGCGCGAGAAUUUAGAGAGAGCGAGAGAGAGAGUGAGAGAAAGUGAGAGCGAGCGAGAGAGAGAGA